rnacentral:rRNA from 1 species
GACGAACGCUGGCGGCGUGCUUAACACAUGCAAGUCGAACGGAGUAUUCACUUGUGGAUACUUAGUGGCGAACGGGUGAGUAACGCGUAGACAACCUGCCUUCUAGAUGGGGACAACACCGCGAAAGUGGUGCUAAUACCGAAUGUUGUACUUUAAAUGCAUGUUUGAAAUACUAAAGAUGGCCUCUAUUUAUAAGCUAUCGCUAGAAGAUGGGUCUGCGUCUGAUUAGCUAGUUGGUGAGGUAAUGGCUCACCAAGGCGACGAUCAGUAGCCGGUCUGAGAGGAUGAACGGCCACACUGGGACUGAGACACGGCCCAGACUCCUACGGGAGGCAGCAGUGGGGAAUCUUCCGCAAUGGACGAAAGUCUGACGGAGCAACGCCGCGUGAGUGAUGAAGGUUUUCGGAUUGUAAAACUCUGUCUUCAGGGACGAACGUACUUUUUGUGAAUAAUGAAGAGUAAUGACGGUACCUGAGGAGGAAGCCACGGCUAACUACGUGCCAGCCGCCGCAGUAACAC